AGAGUUUGAUCCUGGCUCAGGAUGAACGCUGGCGGCGUGCCUAACACAUGCAAGUCGAACGGUAACAGGUUCUCACUAUGCUUUUGAAGUUUUCGAAGGUUUAGUGAGAAUGCUGACGAGUGGCGGACGGCUGAGUAACGCGUGGGAACGUGCCCCAAAGUGAGGGAUAAGCACCGGAAACGGUGUCUAAUACCGCAUAUGAUCUUCGGAUUAAAGCAGCAAUGCGCUUUGGGAGCGGCCUGCGUCGGAUUAGGUUGUUGGUGAGGUAAUGGCUCACCAAGCCGACGAUCCGUAGCUGGUCUGAGAGGAUGACCAGCCAGACUGGAACUGAGACACGGUCCAGACUCCUACGGGAGGCAGCAGUGAGGAAUCUUCCACAAUGGGGGCAACCCUGAUGGAGCAACGCCGCGUGCAGGAUGAAGGCCCUCGGGUCGUAAACUGCUUUUAUAAGUGAGGAAUAUGACGGUAACUUAUGAAUAAGGAUCGGCUAACUACGCGCCAGCAGCCGCGGUCAUACGUAGGAUCCGAGCG
rnacentral:rRNA from 1 species